rnacentral:rRNA from 1 species
UACGUAGGUGGCAAGCGUUGUCCGGAAUUAUUGGGCGUAAAGCGCGCGCAGGCGGGAUAAUCAGUCUGUCGUAAAAGAUCGGGGCUCAACCCCGUUAGGCGAUGGAAACUAUUAUUCUUGAGUGCAGGAGAGGAAAGUGGAAUUCCCAGUGUAGCGGUGAAAUGCGUAGAUAUUGGGAGGAACACCAGUGGCGAAGGCGACUUUCUGGACUGUGUCUGACGCUGAGGCGCGAAAGCCAGGGUAGUGAACGGG